rnacentral:rRNA from 1 species
UGGGGAAUAUUGGACAAUGGGCGAAAGCCUGAUCCAGCCAUGCCGCGUGUGUGAAGAAGGUCUUCGGAUUGUAAAGCACUUUACGUUGGGAGGAAGGGCAUUAACCUAAUACGUUAGUGUUUUGACGUUACCGACAGAAUAAGCACCGGCUAACUCUGUGCCAGCAGCCGCGGUAAUACAGAGGGUGCAAGCGUUAAUCGUAAUUACUGGGCGUAAAGCGCGCGUAGGUGGUUUGUUAAGUUGGAUGUGAAAUCCCCGGGCUCAACCUGGGAACUGCAUUCAAAACUGACUGACUAGAGUAUGGUAGAGGGUGGUGGAAUUUCCUGUGUAGCGGUGAAAUGCGUAGAUAUAGGAAGGAACACCAGUGGCGAAGGCGACCACCUGGACUAAUACUGACACUGAGGUGCGAAAGCGUGGGGAGCAAACA